GACGGGGCCCGCACAAGCGGUGGAGCAUGUGGUUUAAUUCGAUGCAACGCGAAGAACCUUACCUGGGCUUGACAUCCCGGGAAUCCCCUGGAAACAGGGGAGUGCCUUCGGGGAACCCGGUGACAGGUGCUGCAUGGCUGUCGUCAGCUCGUGUUAUGAAAUGUUGGGUUAAGUCCCGCAACGAGCGCAACCCUUAUCCUUUGUUGCCAGCGAGUAAUGUCGGGAACUCAAAGGAGACUGCCGGUGAUAACCGGAGGAAGUGGGGAUGACGUCAAGUCAUCAUGGCCCUUACGAGUAGGGCUACACACGUGCUACAAUGGCAUAUACAAAGAGAAGCGAACUCGCGAGAGCAAGCGGACCUCAUAAAGUAUGUCGUAGUCCGGAUUGGAGUCUGCAACUCGACUCCAUGAAGUCGGAAUCGCUAGUAAUCGUAGAUCAGAAUGCUACGGUGAAUACGUUCCCGGGCCUU
rnacentral:rRNA from 1 species